rnacentral:rRNA from 1 species
UACGUAGGGCGCAAGCGUUGUCCGGAAUUAUUGGGCGUAAAGAGCUCGUAGGCGGUUUGUCGCGUCUGCUGUGAAAACCUAAGGCUCAACCUUGGGCUUGCAGUGGGUACGGGCAGACUAGAGUGAUGUAGGGGAGACUGGAAUUCCUGGUGUAGCGGUGAAAUGCGCAGAUAUCAGGAGGAACACCGAUGGCGAAGGCAGGUCUCUGGGCAUUAACUGACGCUGAGGAGCGAAAGCAUGGGGAGCGAACAGG